CCUGGUUGAUUCUGCCAGUAGUCAUAUGCUUGUCUCAAAGAUUAAGCCAUGCAUGUCUAAGUAUAAACACGUUAUACUGUGAAACUGCGAAUGGCUCAUUAAAUCAGUUAUAGUUUAUUUGAUGGUUUUUGCUACAUGGAUAACUGUGGUAAUUCUAGAGCUAAUACAUGCGUACAAGCCCCGACUUCUGGAAGGGGUGUAUUUAUUAGAUAAAAAUCAACACUGUUGGUGAAUCAUGAUAACUUCUCGGAUCGCAUGGCCUCGUGCUGGCGAUACUUCAUUCAAAUAUCUGCCCUAUCAACUGUCGAUGGUAGGAUAGAGGCCUACCAUGGUUGCAACGGGUAACGGGGAAUAAGGGUUCGAUUCCGGAGAGGGAGCCUGAGAAACGGCUACCACAUCCAAGGAAGGCAGCAGGCGCGCAAAUUACCCAAUCCCGACACGGGGAGGUAGUGACAAUAUGUAACAAUAUACGGCUUUAUCGUCGUAUAAUUGGAAUGAGUACAAUUUAAAUCCCUUAACGAGGAACAAUUGGAGGGCAAGUCUGGUGCCAGCAGCCGCGGUAAUUCCAGCUCCAAUAGCGUAUAUUAAAGUUGUUGCAGUUAAAAAGCUCGUAGUUGGACCUUGGGCCUGGACGGGCGGUCCGCCUCACGGCGUGUACUGUCUUGCCGGGCCUUUCCUCUUGGUGAUCUGUUGUUUCGGCAGCAGGGAACCAGGACCUUUACUUUGAAAAAAUUAGAGUGUUCAAAGCAGGCUCGACGCCCGAAUAUAUUAGCAUGGAAUAAUAAAAUAGGACGUGCGGUUCUAUUUUG
rnacentral:rRNA from 1 species